UAAAAUACACAUCUUAAAAACAUAACAAUAGGAAAAUACUACUUUUAAAUAAGGAAGAGUUUGUGGUGGAUGCCUUGGGUCUGGAAGUCGAAGAAGGACGUGAUUACCUGCGAUAAGCCUCGUGGAGCUGGAAAUGCGCAUUGAAACGGGGAUUUCCGAAUGGGGGAAACCCA
rnacentral:rRNA from 1 species